rnacentral:rRNA from 1 species
GACGAACGCUGGCGGCGUGCUUAGUACAUGCAAGUCGAACGGAAAGGCCCUGCUCUUGCGGGGUGCUCGAGUGGCGAACGGGUGAGUAACACGCGAGUAACCCGCCCUUGACUUUGGGAUAACUUUAGGAAACUGGGGCUAAUACCGGAUAGGAGCUCCUGCUGCAUGGUGGGGGUUGGAAAGUUUCGGCGGUUGGGGCUGGACUCGCGGCUUAUCAGCUUGUUGGUGGGGUAGUGGCUUACCAAGGCUUUGACGGGUAGCCGGCCUGAGAGGGUGACCGGCCACAUUGGGACUAAGAUACGGCCCAGACUCCUACGGGAGGCAGCGGUGGGGAGUAUUGCGCAAUAAGCGGAAGCCUGAUGCAGCGACGCCGCGUGCGGAAUGACGGCCUUCGAGUUAUGAACCGCUUUCGCCUGUAACGAAGCGUGAGUGACGGUAAUGGGUAAAGAAGCACCGGCUAACUACGUG